UAUCCCAGCUCGGGAUACUUGCGCCUAAAUACAUUUAGUAGAUUAUAUACAACGAAUGACCCGGGCCGCCCGCGUGGCAGGCGAGCAUUCUACCACUGAACCACCGAUGGU